UACAGAGGGUGCGAGCGUUGUUCGGAAUUAUUGGGCGUAAAGGGCGCGUAGGCGGUGCGGUAAGUCACCUGUGAAAUCCCCUGGCUCAACUGGGAGCUUGCAGGCGAAACUGCCGUGCUGGAGUGUGGGAGAGGUGCGUGGAAUUCCUGGUGUAGCGGUGAAAUGCGUAGAUAUCAGGAGGAACACCUGUGGCGAAAGCGGCGCACUGGACCACAACUGACGCUGAGGAGCGAAAGCGUGGGGAGCGAACAGG
rnacentral:rRNA from 1 species